rnacentral:rRNA from 1 species
GUGAGGAAUAUUGCUCAAUGGGCGAAAGCCUGAAGCAGCGACGCCGCGUGAAGGAUGAAAUUCUUUUAGAAUGUAAACUUCUUUUGCAGGGGAAGAAUGUGACGUUUUUGCGUCAUUGACGGUACCCUGUGAAUAAGCACCGGCCAACUACGUGCCAGCAGCCGCGGUAAUACGUAGGGUGCAAGCGUUGUCCGGAAUUACUGGGUGUAAAGGGUCCGCAGGCGGGUAAACAAGUCGGUGGUGAAAUCCUGCAGCUCAACUGCAGAACUGCCUCUGAUACUGUUUAUCUUGAGUUCGAGAGAGGAUGAUGGAAUUCAUGGUGUAGCGGUGAAAUGCGUAGAUAUCAUGAAGAAUACCAGUUGCGAAGGCGGUCAUCUGGCUCGAUACUGACGCUCAUGGACGAAAGCGUGGGGAGCAAACAGGAUUAGAAACCCCGGUAGUCC